GAACUUGAGUACAGUAGAGGUAGGCGNAAUUCGUGGUGUAGCGGUGAAAUGNUUAGANAUCACGAAGAACUCNGAUUGCGAANGCAGCUUGCUGGACUGUAACUGACGCUGAGGCACGAAAGCGUGGGGAUCAAACAGGAUUAGAUACCCUGNUANNCCACGCCGUAAACGAUGAAUGCUAGCUGUUAGCGAUAUACUGUUAGCGGCACAGAGAAAUCGUUAAGCNUUCCACCUGGGGAGUACGCCGGCAACGGUGAAACUCAAAGGAAUUGACGGGGGCCCGCACAAGCGGAGGAACAUGUGGUUUAAUUCGAUGAUACGCGAGGAACCUUACCUGGGCUUAAAUUGCAGUGGAAUAACGUGGAAACAUGUUAGCCUUCGGGCCGCUGUGAAGGUGCUGCAUGGUUGUCGUCAGCUCGUGCCGUGAGGUGUCGGCUUAAGUGCCAUAACGAGCGCAACCCUCAUCGAUAGUUACUAACAGGUUAAGCUGAGGACUCUAUCGAGACUGCCGACGUAAGUCGUGAGGAAGGUGGGGAUGACGUCAAAUCAGCACGGCCCUUACGUCCAGGGCUACACACGUGUUACAAUGGGGGGUACAAAGGGCAGCUACCUGGCGACAGGAUGCUAAUCUCAAAAACCUCUCUCAGUUCGGAUUGGAGUCUGCAACCCGACUCCAUGAAGCUGGAUUCGCUAGUAAUCGCGCAUCAGCCACGGCGCGGUGAAUACGUUCCCGGGCCUUGUACACACCGCCCGUCAAGCCAUGGGAGCCGGGGGGACCUGAAGUAUGCAACCGUAAGGAGCGUCCUAGGGUAAAACUGGUGACUGGGGCU
rnacentral:rRNA from 1 species